rnacentral:lncRNA from 1 species
AUUCUCUUGCAUUACACCUGGGGAACGAGACAGCACCGGGUCUCACCCUGGCAAGGCAUGAGGCUGUGUGCUGCCAGAACGACCAGCAGGGGGCGCAAAGGCCACUCCAGGCACCUGCUGGCCUCGGAGAAAACAGAAAGGAAAUCAGGAAGCCCACUCCUGCUGUCCUUUCUCUGCAAGGAAAUGUGGCAGGGCACUGCAGCCCAGACAGUCGGCAGUAGAGGACCCAUGAAGUAUCUUUGUGCAAAGAAAGCAGCAAAGAGAAUUGCAUCAUAUAAAGAGUGAAUUAAACCAUCUAAAGGAGCAAAAAGUCAUCAUCACAUGGACAAGAAAUUAAGACAUAACAUCCAUAUCACUAUUUGCAAAGUGGUUUAUUCCUACAGACAAUGCAGAUAUGUAAAAAGCAGCUGGAAUCCUAGGAGCAGAAGCCCAGCAUAAAGAUCUCUGAAAGCCUGGAUGCGUGGAUUCCUCUCUUAUUUCCCAAAACCAUGGGGUAGAAAUGUGAAUAUCAGCAUGCUGCACAGAUCUCUACAGAUGCCCAGGGAACUGAAUUUCUAGACGUUAUAAUCUAUGUUCUUUCCCAACCCCCGCUUCAGUUUACAUAUCGCAGGCCAUAGAUCCUGUUUGUUGAAAAGCCACCAGCUAGAAAACAAGAGUGGUUAUAACCUGUUCUGCCCAGUGAUCAGGAAAAGAGAGCGGAUGAAACUUCCAUGACUUUCUGUUAGUCUGAUUAAUAUCCAUGCCAAAUGUAAGAUAAGUUAAAAGGCCUUAUUGCUUCCCACCAAAAUGUUCCCUCACUAGCUAUAUACUACAUUGAAAUGUAAAGUUAUGGGUAUGUUUAAAAGUUUAAUUUGUCAACGGGCAUCCAACUCUUCUAUUUGUGUUUUUACUUUGAGCUUAGUUGGAGCAGACAAAUAGAGGUGACCUCUAACUGUUUUCCUUCUGAAGCCAUUUUCAGGGCAGAAGUGCUUUACCCACUUCAUUGAGAAACCACCUUUGCAUGCAGUACCCUGAGUUGUCUUCAGCACACCAAGCAUCCACAACAUGGGAAAUACUGUGCUUUAAAUGUUGCUUUAAUCACAGUGCUCAUGAGUAAGGGCAUGUCCUGUCUCUUAUCCAUGAAAAUACUCCCACAAAACGAAGUCACACCUAGUAUCUGUUAACGGAGAUAGUGAGUGGGUGAGGAAGACUCAUUCCCUAAUGCAAUUCAGGUCACACAGGGUAAAAAAGAAAAAACAAAUCCUUUUCUGUUGAGGAUACAGAUGGAAAGAAAAUGGAAAAUGCCUUUCAGAAUGCACAAGCCUAGUUUUCUAAUUGUGUUUCAGGGAACAUGCUGGUGAACUUACCUGUGUGGCUUGGUAUUGUGGGUUUUCAGCUUCUUCUCCACCAAAUCCUUUGAAAAGCAGCAGUGGCAGAAACAAAUAACCCAAUUAAAAACAAUAAUAGCAACAAUAAAAAAAGGAAAGAUAAAGAAGAAA